ensembl:lncRNA
GAGAGAGAGGGAGGAAGAGAGUUAGAGAGGCAGAGACAGUGAGGGAGGCGGAGACAGUGAGGGAGGCAGAGACAGGGUGGGAGGCAGAGACAGAGAGGGAGGCAGAGAGAGAGGGAGGCAGAGACAGUGAGGGAGGCAGAGACAGUGAGGGAGGCAGAGUCAGCGAGGGAGGCAGAGACAGUGAGGGAGGCAGAGACAGAGAGGGAGGCAGAGAGAGAGAGCGAGGCAGAGAGAGAGAGCGAGGCAGAGAGAGAGAGAGAGAGGGAGGCAGAGACAGAGAGGGAGGCAGAGAGAGAGGGAGGCAGAGACAGUGAGGGAGGCAGAGACAGUGAGGGAGGCAGAGACAGAGAGGGAGGCAGAGACAGAGAGGGAGGCAGAGAGAGAGAGGGAGGCAGAGACAGUGAGGGAUGCAGAGACAGAGAGGGAGGCAGAGAGAGAGGGAGGCAGAGACAGUGAGGGAGGCAGAGACAGUGAGGGAGGCAGAGACAGAGAGGGAGGCAGAGAGAGAGGGAGGCAGAGACAGUGAGGGAGGCAGAGACAGUGAGGGAGGCAGAGACAGAGAGGGAGGCAGAGACAGAG